GCGGAAGUGUGGCGUGGCCACGUGUGCGGGCCAUGGCGGGCGGGCUGGAGCCGCACCUGGAGGCGCUGCGGCGGGAGCUGCACGGUCCUGCCGUGCUCUCCGUGCUCGUCGCGCUCAUCGUCGUCACCGUCACCUUCCUGAUCUGGCGGUUCGUGCAGGGCAGGCGGAGCAGCCGCAAGGCCGUGCUGCUGCUGGGGCUCUGCGAUGCGGGGAAGACGCUGCUUUUCGCGCGGCUGCUGUCGGGGCGGUACCGCGACACCCAGACCUCCAUCACUGACAGCUCUGCCGUCUACAGGGUCAGCCCAGACAAGAGCACAAAUGUGACCUUGAUCGACCUUCCAGGCCAUGAAAGUCUGAGGCUGCAGUUCUUGGAGAGGUUCAAGGCCGCAGCCAGAGCCAUCGUGUUUGUGGUGGACAGCGUGGCCUUCCAGCGGGAGGUGAAGGAUGUGGCAGAGUUCCUGUACCAGGUGCUGGUGGACAGCACCGUGCUCAGGAACGCGCCUGCGCUGCUCAUCGCAUGCAACAAGCAAGAUGUCACAAUGGCAAAAUCGGCAAAACUCAUCCAGCAACAGUUGGAGAAAGAGCUCAAUACCCUGCGGGUGACGUGCUCUGCAGCCCCCACCAGCCUGGAUGGCUCAGCCACAGGGGGCCCUGCCCAGCUGGGAAAGAAGGGCAAAGACUUUGACUUCUCCCAGCUGCCCAUGAAGGUGGAGUUUGUGGAGUGCAGUGCUCGAGGCAGCAAGGGAGAGGAGGGAGAAGCUGACUUGGAGGGCCUUGAGAAGUGGCUGGUGAAGGUGGCCUGAACAGAGAUGAACAGGGCUGGGGGGCUGAAGGGAAAAAGAUGGUGUGGAGCACUCAAAUCUCAUCUUGAUGUAAAAAGAAGGAACUUCAGCUGGAAGUCAGCACUGUGUUGUCUUCCUCUGCUGCUCGUGGGCUUGGGAGCGACGUGACAAUUGCUGGUGUGAUUCCCUCUGACUGUCCCUUCAUGCUGCAAUGUUUUUAUUCUCUCCCCUCUUCCCUUGCCCUCUUCUUUGCUGCUGAACCUCUGAGCUUUUCUUUUUCCUUAAUCUUUAGGCUUUUCAUUUGGUAGUUGCAAAGCAAAUUAGGAAGGAAUGUGCUGGCAGGUGAGGUUUAGAGACUGGAGUGUGCCUCUCAUUUCUUCCUGCCAUGGUUUAGAUCCUUCCCUCUCAAAGCCACUGACCACCUUGUGGUGGGGGGCUGUGGGGAGCACUACACAGGGUCCCUGUGUUGGGCAGGCAUUGAGAGAGUAUAAAAUGCUGGUUUCCUCUUUGUGUCUGCCUUUCCAUCGUUCCAAACUGGUGCAGCCCCAUUUCUGUGGGGCUGGAGGGGUGUGAAAUGCCCAAACCAGACUGCCUGCCCAGCCUUACUCCCUGGGCUCAGCUCUCUGCACACAUCUAGUGAUUUCCUCUCUUGAUCAGCUCCUGGGAGGUUUUUUUUCAGCUGAGGGCUGUGUCCUGAAAGCUUCAUUCUGCUUCUCCUUCCAGGCUCCUCCCACAGCCAGGAACAAACUAAGAGUGGCAGAGCUACAGGGGGUCAUGGCGUCAAACUGAGAUGGGCAGAGUUUUAGAUCCAUACCUGCACCUGGGUCCUGCUGUGCCAGGCAUUUGCUGUCAGUCUCCUGCUGCCUCCUGCUCCAGUGGCUGCAGAAGGAUUUCCUUUGUGUGUCAUUAGACAGCACUUGUGGCAAAGUGAGGGGGAAAGUCAAGGAGCUGCCAGCACGUGGGUAUGAUUCCUCCUUCUGGCAGAGAUGCUGAAGGAAGAGGGGAAACAAAUGGGAGAUUUUCCCAGUUUGUGUCUCACUGCACAUUGCAGAGCCCUUGUGCAGUGACAUUUUCCCUUUGUUUGUGGCUUCACCUGGUGUUUUAGGGUUGGCUAGCUUCUGGCAGACCAUUUUUGUAGUUUGUAGCCCCCUCUCCCCUGUGGUUUGAUGCUUCUUUCAUAACUCAUCUGUUGUGUUCUUUUGCUUCUCUGGGGCUUUUCCUGCCUCCCUGCACCAUUGCCAAGUGUUGGGAAGAGCAGGAACAGCCUUCAGCAAAGCCCCAUGCCUGUGAUGAAGCUGGUCCUUGCAUUUCCAGCCUCGAGAGUCAUCCAUAACAGAGGUGGGAGGGUUAUAUUUACCAAACAUGGCAUAUUCUGUUUCCUCCAGGCAGAGUUCUGUUGGAACAUGUUUAGCAUGCUUUGAACUCCUUUAGUUGGAGGUGUUGGGCUGCCUGCUUCAAAACCAUAAUGCUGAAGUGAUUUUGGGCAAAAAGACUGUUGUUUCUUUGGGUGAUUGCUCAUGCAAAGACACAGAGGCCAAGCACCAGCCUCAGCUUAAGGGGAGGAAAGUACCAUGAAGCCAUGGUGGGUUUUAAGUUAUUCUUUUAAAAAAUACUUCUUAAGUAAAUUCUUUUUUGCUUAAAUGUUCUCAAGUCUUGCUUCAGUCUGUGUGUUUGCCGUGGCUCUUCCCAGCAGUAUCAGAUCCACGUGGAUGGGGCUCUGCUCCUGCUCAGCACAGCGCUGGGGAUCAACCUUCCUGCUCUGUGGCCAGCUGAAAAUUAAUCAGCCAAAAGCGUGGGGAAAUGGAUCUGGGCUCUGUCCAGAGCUACACAAACAGAUGUGUGAACAGCCACAGCUGGAAACACCACACAGACACAAACUGAAAGUGGGCAUGUUCCCAAACAACUGUGGAAGUUCAGAGGACAACCCCAAAUCUGCCCUCUCUUCCCUCACUCCCCAAAGGAGCGCAUCUGCUGGUGUCACACAGCCUGAAUCCUGCAGGAAUGUGGCCCUGAGGAGGUGCCCUUGGGCAGGGUGGGAUGGGGCUGCUCCACCUCCUGUGGGAAGAUGCCAUCAGAAAUCUCUUGCUGGUAGUGCCCUGGGAAAUGAGCUCAAUGCACUUGACAUCAAGCCUUGGCCACAUAUAAAAGUCAUUUUUAUCCUAAGGAGUCGUGGUAAAAGCCAAAAAUAUCCACUGAGGUGAGGAGAAAGAUGAUGUCCAGCUAGAACACUGGGAGCAUAUGAAGUAAUGUGGACACAAUAUUCCUAAUUUUCCCCUAAAAAUCCAGAGUGAAAAAUUACACCCUGCUUGUUUGGCCCAGAAGACCAUGGAUAAAAGUCCUCCUGAGCUCUCUGGGCUGUGAAGCAUCCGGAUCUCCUCCAUGCACUGGGGAUCAAGGAGCAAGAAGCAGCAUGGUGAUAUCUUCUGCCCCUCCACCAGCGUGUAUCCCUCCCCAGGGGUAAGAGCUGGAGAAACAAGGAGCUGGGAUCAGCACCUGCAUUACCUGGGGUGGUAGAUGCCCUCGAUGUGCCCUGUGGAGCAGCCCAUGAAGAAAAGGGGCAGGCAGAGGAGGAUGGAGAAGACGAGCACGACCACGGCGAAGCGCGGGAUGGCACGCAGGGAGAAGGAGAAGCGCUUCAUGAUGAUCCCUCCCAGCAGCAUCCCGAGUGCCGCUGCUGGCAGGUUGACAGCUCCUGCAGAGGAAUGGAGCCAUCAGGGGGUCCUGCCUGCCCAGAACCCCUCCAUGGGCAGGGGGCAGUUCUCUGGACCUUACAGAUCCAACUGUUGUCCAAGACAGCCCAAACCCAAGGCAGCUGGGGGACCACAGGUCAGGAAAGUCACCAACUACCCCAAGGCGAACCCCAGGUCUCAUCCAAAAAUGAGCUUUCAGUGACUCCUCUGUGAUUUAAACAGCCUGUGGAAUAUGGGCAGUUGGCUCCCUGCUGAUGGGUAUUUUUUGCCUCCAUCCAUGCUCACCUAUGAGGAAGUUGGCCUGUGAGGGGGAAGCACCGUACUGCUUCUCCAGGAAUUUGUUGAGGAAGGUGGCCAGACCCGCAAUGACGGAGGAGAAGCUGCACUGAGCCAGCACCAGGAGGAUGAAGAGGGGGUUGAGCAGCAGCCUGAGGAAGAUCUUUGGGAAUCCUACAGGGAAACCAUAGGAAAAAUAUCUUUUAGCUGUGUGAUCCUCACACCAGUAAUUUGUACUGGGAAGAAACCCCCACCCUUAGCCUGUUCCCAGGAAGGAUGUCUGUGGUUUGAUGAUCUACUGGGGAUGUCUGCAGACAUGGGAAAGUGGGAGGGGAGACACCUUAAUGUGUCCCAGCAGCUGGCAGGACCCUGGAUGUGUUUUCCUGGUGAGACACUGUGUCCUCUGGCCCCAUCAACAGAGGCAGAUGGACCCUGGGAGAAACUCUGUUUAUUUCUUCUCUUAUGAGUUUUCUAAUUAGCAGAGAGUGAUGGAGAGCCAGCAUCCAUUAAAGCCUAAAGAGAGGAGAAGAGGGAACUGGCAGCUCCAGGAUAUGACUGCAGUGCAGGAAGAGGCAAGGAGGGAGGGACCUUAAAUGGGCAGAAAUCCUCCUGGAGCUAAAAGACUCAUUAAUCUGGUCCCUCAGCAGUGACAUCCCUCUCAAGCCUGUUUUGGCUCCACAUAAACAGUGUCAACUGCAGUGGGGUGACCUUGUCGAGGAGCUGGUGGCGCCAGCGGCCCCAUGCCCACUCCUCCCAGCGACACUUUUCCGGCACACUCACACCAUUUCAAGGUCCUCAAAGCAAAAUUUGGAAACAGUUCAGGCCCCACAGAAGAGGGGCCUCAAGGGGUAUGUAGCCAGAGGGAGGCUGUGCCCACCUUCCCAUGGUCCUUAUGCCCUUGUGGUGCCAGAGCUGGUCUGCACACACUGCUGGGCUCCCAAGGACUCCCAGUAAACCCCUUGGUGCGAAUCUGCUGGUGGGAUGGCCCCCACCCACCCACCCAGCAUGGCCUGGUACGGCCAGGCAUCCCCAUCCACCCUCGGCUGGACCUGCCAGGAGUUUACUUUUUAUAAACUGUAGCAGGGAGGUCUCUUCAGCAGCCCCUGUCUCCAUCUUCCUGAGCAUGCCGGCCUCCGUGUUCCGCUCCUGGGAGGGGAGAGAGGAGCAGCCUGUGGUGAGGGGGGUGGCACUGUCCUGGUGCAGGGAGGCUCAGGAGGGACAGGGCCUGUCUCAGGGGCCUUUCACCCCGAGCCAAGCCUGACAAUUACAGCUAAGCCCCAUCCCACAUGCACUGAUCACCUCUCCAGGCUGGGAGAGCUGGGAGUGUUCACCUAGAGAAGAGAAGGCUCUGGGGAGAGCCCCUUCCAGGGCCUAAAGGAGCUCCAAGAGAACUGGAGAGGGACUUGGGACAAGGGCCUGGAGCACCAGGACAUGGGGGAAUGGCUUCCCACUGCCACUAUGGUUAGAUGGGAUCUUGGGGACAAAUUCUGGAGGAGGUGAGGCCCUGGCGUAGGCUGCUCAGAGAAGCUUUGGCUGCUCCAACCCUGAAGGUUGGACGGGUCUUGGAGCAGUGGUCUGGACUAGUGGAAGGUGUCCCUGCCAUGGCAGGGAUGGAACAGGAUGAGCUUUAAGGUCCUUCCAACCCAAACCAUUCCAGGAUUCUGUGAUUAAAGGGGUGAGUUAUCUCAAAUAUCACUGCAGCCCCUGAGCAGAGCAGCAGGACAGCAGCUUGUUGUUGGGAGCUUUUAGGAACUUGUAAUUCUUUUCUCCCCUGAAUCCUGACAAAACACCUCUCUUAACUUUUCAAAAAGUCUGAAAAUUAAAGUUAGAGAUAGUUCAGCACAAGUCUGGGGAGUCCUUUAACCAUAACUGUGAAAUAUUUUGGGUUUGAUUUCAAUGAAUAAACAAUUUCAAAACAGAA